AAGGACUCAGAGUCAUAAUCAUAUAAUCAUAUCUGACAGAGAAAGGAUUCAAUCUGACUCUCCUCAAAGUGAACACAAUCAAUGGAUCUUCAUUCAGUUAUUCUUUUCUGUGCCUCAGCAGCUGCUGCAUUUGGAAAUGUUUAUGAGGAGGGUUUGAAUGUUACAUUGCCCUGUGAUCGUUCACCCUCAACUUCAGAUGAUAUCUACUGGUAUCGUCAGUAUGAAAGAUCAAAACCUGAAUUUCUUGUACUCACCUACAGCACUGCAAAAGAAACUCAGUCUGAUGUAGAUCCAAGAUUUACUGUUAAAGUUCGAAAAGGAGAAAAAAUCCAUGUGGAUCUGAUCAUCUCCUCUGCUGCUGUAUCAGACUCUGCUCUGUAUUACUGUGCUCUGAGGCCCACAGUGACAGGAAACACUACAACACUGUACAAAAACCUGCUACAAUAAGAGAUGAGAGAGAAACACAGAGACAGAGAUGAAUACAGAGAAAAAGAAGCUGUAUCUGUCAAUUAUGAACAACAACAA